AGGACAUUAGCUUUUUGCCGAUCCAUGGGUCAGAUAGGAACAGGACAGUUCGAAACCCUCGCCUCGCCCCUGCUCCACUCGUCUUCUGGUGCCCCGGCCGCCUAUCACCACCCCAACAUCCCGGCAGACGGCCCUCCCAUCCCCAACCCCGUUGGUGGCGACCGGUCAGGAUAUUGAUUUUGGCGACGAGGAUUUUGGCGACGGCUGCCACUGGCUGAGAGGAAUGGAAGAGGCAGGUAUUGAGUUUCUCCUGGAUGCAGUUGACAGGUUAGUGACCUCGGAUCCGCAAGAAAGUUUUGAGCAACUAGCUUGUGUGAGCACUGACGGGCAAAAAGUGGCCGCCACCACUGUCAUCUACUCCGUAUUUAUUAGGUUCCCACUUCUUGAGGAGUUCGCUAAAAGCAGGGACCACCCAGAUCCGCUUCCUCUGGUUGUGGUGGUGAACAGCGGAGUAGGGGUUGCUGUCCCUGCAGAUUCCGUUGCUGAUUCUGAUUAUGGGUAGCAGAUUGGAUACGAGGGCAGCAAUCCUAUGCUUGCUGGGGUUCGACGACAACCGGAUUCAUCCCCAACGAGGUCUGCAUAGUCUACUAACAGAGUCAAUCCCCAGGCCUCUGGCUGGAUAAAAAGGUAUGAAAAAUGUAAAUCACGUGCGUCGUAUGAUUUUCUAAUUUCUGCUUAAGCAUUGUACACUGCUGGGUGUUGAAAAAAUUCAGACAUGAGUUAGAUGAUUUCGGGUAUGAUUCAGACAACAUACAGUUUCGUAAAUGAAUUUCGGCACCUGAACCAUUUGUAUCAAUUGGAUGUUCAAACGCGUAUUACUGUUUUGCAGUAUGGAUUCUUUGGUGAUUUCAUUACAUUCAACACGACUUACGGGACAAACCUAUACGACAUGCCUUUUGGUUUGUUCGUCGGUGUUAACAAUAAUUUUCAAAGCAUUAUACUUGCUAGUGUGUUGAUGAGGGACGAACUAGAGGAUGAUGGGAGGGCUAGCUCCGAAGAUAUUUCUUAUAGACCAGAACAGAGCCAUGGAAGUGACAAUCAAGAAGGUGUACCCAGGGUCAGGGACUACACAGGUCGUGCAAAUGGCAAAUCUUAAAUAAAGCAAAGGAGACAUUAGGACUGAUGUAUACAAAGAAUUCUGAUUUCCAGGUUGAAUUCCACAAGGUUGUGAACCACAUGUUAACAGAAGAUGAGUUUGAGGCGGCGUGGAAUACGCUGUUAGAUAAAUACAAUUUGAGUAAGCACACCUACAUGACACAGCUGUAUGAAAUCAAAGAAAAAUGGGCAAAACCUUACUUCAAAGGAGAACAAAUUUGGCGACAGAGCAACAUGCCAGUAAGAUAUACACCAGGGCAAUGUUUAAGUAGUUCGGACGUCUGCUGAUUGAAGCGACUGCUUAUAAAAUGUCACAGAAAUAGAGAGGAUGAGGAGGUAUGUUACAGUUCACAACAUUGUAGGAAAAGAGAGAAAUGGAGCAGGGUUGAGUAUGAAGUGACCAUAAAUGAGGACCAAAACAAGUUUUCCUGUGAGUGUGGCCAGUUCGAGCACACUCGUAUGCUGUGCAGCCAUGUUCUGAGGGUAAACUUCCAGGACAGUUUAAUGACAGAUAAGAAUAAAUGUGGUUCUUGGAGAAGACAACUGAUUUUCUUUUUGAUAUCUUGUAGGUCAUGGAAAUACUUCAUCUCGAGGAGAUACGUGCAAAGCAUAUAUUGAAACGGUGAACAAAGGACGUGAGGGACAUGUUGCCCCAACAUCUAGUUCAGUACCAGAGGGACAACUCAGUUAACCUGUCGUUUACUUGUAGGCACUCGGCGCUUUACCCGAAAGCCAUGGAGGUGGUAAGGAUGCGUGAUGCGAGUGCAGCAGCUUUCGAUGAUGUGUUCGCCGGUCUGAACGCUCUACUGUUGAGUGGCGCACCUUUCGCAGAAAAGCGGGAUGGUUACGGUUUUGAGGACCACAUGGCUGGCUUAACUCCUGGUACAUUACCAGGCAAUGGAGAGAUCGCAUAUGUUGGGGACAAGGGUGCUGAUAGAUGCAUCAGUACUGGAAACUCAAUUAGGGCGAAUGGUUUGCAUUGUCUAAUAGUACCAGAGAAGCAGAGGGGGUUGGAAGACCUACAAACAGCAGAGAGAAGGCACCGUACAAGGGGCUCAGUAAGCGCACAAGAUUCUGCAGCAUUUGCCGGCGCGGGAGUCACAACAGACUACAUACCUCGAAAGAGGGGAUGCCCCGAAGAAACCACGGAAGCCCGAGAGAUGCAGGAAUUGUCGAAUGGAAGGGACCGGCGGACAACGCGCACAAGAUCUUUGGAUGCUGCUGAAAAUGAAGUCUGAACUUUAUGUGCGUAAAUUAUAUUAUUGUUGUUCCGAGGAUUUUUCUAGUGUGUUUCUGUGAGCAUUGCUCCAUGCUUGUUCCUCAAUUUCGAGACGGAGUGGUAAUUGCUGUAGCUAAGAACAAAACUUUGUAUCAUGGUAAUUUGUAAUAUGAUGGUUGGCUUUUUUUUGAA